rnacentral:misc_RNA from 1 species
AGGAUUAGUUAUUAGUCUAUAAAUGCCUAUGUAAUUUAAGUAUUUUCCUAAAACUUAUUAUUAUUGAUAUUGACAAUAACAGAAAAUUUGGGAGUUUUAUUUCUUUUCCCUUUUUGAGUGGUAUUUGUUUUACAUCAAUUGGCAUUAGAGCUUUUUUGGAUCCGUUUUGUUUGUGAAAAUUAGCCAGAGAAUGCAAUCAGAAUUUUUUUUUUUUUUGGCUUUUCUUCAUGGAUUUUUUUCUUCCUUCACAUCCCUAAAAACAUCUGAACGUAUAAAAUCAGUCAACAAAGAAUUUUAUGAUGAAGAACAAGAGGAGCAGUUUGAAGAAUCUGAAGUUUUAAUUGUUGAGACUUCACAUCUUGAAAUUCAAGAUGAUAAGACUGAGUUAAAAAAUUUUGAGGAACCUAUUCUAGAGAAAGAAGCUGAUGAGAAUGAGCCAGAAGAUUUUGGGGAACUUAUCCCAGGAAAAGAAGAAAAGCAGUCCAUGGAUAAGACAACAGAAACUGAAAUUUUAUCAAAUUCUCUUGUUCAUGGUGAUUUCAACUAUAGUUGUGACUAAAAAUGUUCCUUGAGAUAUAAGGAAAGGAAAUAAUGAAGCCUUUCAUUUCACUCUUAUUGCUACCAUCCAAGAAGA